rnacentral:rRNA from 1 species
AAUUGAAGAGUUUGAUCAUGGCUCAGAUUGAACGCUGGCGGCAGGCCUAACACAUGCAAGUCGAACGGUAACAGGAAGCAGCUUGCUGCUUUGCUGACGAGUGGCGGACGGGUGAGUAAUGUCUGGGAAACUGCCCGAUGGAGGGGGAUAACUACUGGAAACGGUAGCUAAUACCGCAUAACGUCGCAAGACCAAAGAGGGGGACCUUAGGGCCUCUUGCCAUCGGAUGUGCCCAGAUGGGAUUAGCUAGUAGGUGGGGUAAUGGCUCACCUAGGCGACGAUCCCUAGCUGGUCUGAGAGGAUGACCAGCCACACUGGAACUGAGACACGGUCCAGACUCCUACGGGAGGCAGCAGUGGGGAAUAUUGCACAAUGGGCGCAAGCCUGAUGCAGCCAUGCCGCGUGUAUGAAGAAGGCCUUCGGGUUGUAAAGUACUUUCAGCGGGGAG